GGCGCUAUCGUCUAGGGGACAAGGACAGGUGGUUCUCAGCCAUCAGACCGGGGUUCGAAUCCCCGUAGCGCCAUCA
rnacentral:tRNA from 1 species